AAACUGGUAGGUUAUUUAAACUGACAAAUUGUGGUUUUGUUGAUUACAUUUUAAUUAUUUUUUGUAU
rnacentral:tRNA from 1 species